GAGUUUGAUCCUGGCUCAGGACGAACGCUGGCGGCGUGCUUAACACAUGCAAGUCGAGCGGAAAGGCCCUUCGGGGUACUCGAGCGGCGAACGGGUGAGUAACACGUGAGUAACCUGCCCCUGACUCUGGGAUAAGCCCGGGAAACUGGGUCUAAUACCGGAUAUGACACCUCCUCGCAUGGGGUGGGUGUGGAAAGUUUUUCGGUUGGUGAUGGACUCGCGGCCUAUCAGCUUGUUGGUGGGGUAAUGGCCUACCAAGGCGACGACGGGUAGCCGGCCUGAGAGGGCGACCGGCCACACUGGGACUGAGACACGGCCCAGACUCCUACGGGAGGCAGCAGUGGGGAAUAUUGCGCAAUGGGCGAAAGCCUGACGCAGCGACGCCGCGUGGGGGAUGACGGCCUUCGGGUUGUAAACCUCUUUCAGCAGGGACGAAGUUGACGUGUACCUGCAGAAGAAGCGCCGGCUAACUACGUGCCAGCAGCCGCGGUAAUACGUAGGGCGCAAGCGUUGUCCGGAAUUAUUGGGCGUAAAGAGCUCGUAGGUGGCUUGUCACGUCGGGUGUAAAAGCUUGGGGCUUAACUCCAGGUCUGCAUUCGAUACGGGCUGGCUAGAGGUAGGUAGGGGAGAACGGAAUUCCUGGUGUAGCGGUGAAAUGCGCAGAUAUCAGGAGGAACACCGGUGGCGAAGGCGGUUCUCUGGGCCUUACCUGACGCUGAGGAGCGAAAGCGUGGGGAGCGAACAGGAUUGGAUACCCUGGUAGUCCACGCUGUAAACGUUGGGCGCUAGGUGUGGGGACCUUCCACGGUUUCCGCGCCGUAUCUAACGCAUUAAGCGCCCCGCCUGGGGAGUACGGCCGCAAGGCUAAAACUCAAAGGGAUUGACGGGGGCCCGCACAAGCGGCGGAGCAUGUUGCUUAAUUCGACGCAACGCGAAGAACCUUACCAAGGCUUGACAUUGCCCGGAAACACUCAGAGAUGGGUGCCUCUUCGGAUCGGGUGACAGGUGGUGCAUGGCUGUCGUCAGCUCGUGUCGUAGAUGUUGGGUUAAGUCCCGCAACGAGCGCAACCCUUGUUCAAUGUUGCCAGCACGCUCCUUCGGGGGUGGUGGGGACUCAUUGGAGACUGCCGGGGUCAACUCGGAGGAAGGUGGGGAUGACGUCAAGUCAUCAUGCCCCUUAUGUCUUGGGCUGCAAACAUGCUAC
rnacentral:rRNA from 1 species